GCCCAGAUGGGAUUAGCUUGUUGGUGAGGUAACGGCUCACCAAGGCGACGAUCCCUAGCUGGUCUGAGAGGAUGACCAGCCACACUGGAACUGAGACACGGUCCAGACUCCUACGGGAGGCAGCAGUGGGGAAUAUUGCACAAUGGGCGCAAGCCUGAUGCAGCCAUGCCGCGUGUAUGAAGAAGGCCUUCGGGUUGUAAAGUACUUUCAGCGGGGAGGAAGGUGUUGUGGUUAAUAACCGCAGCAAUUGACGUUACCCGCAGAAGAAGCACCGGCUAACUCCGUGCCAGCAGCCGCGGUAAUACGGAGGGUGCAAGCGUUAAUCGGAAUUACUGGGCGUAAAGCGCACGCAGGCGGUCUGUCAAGUCGGAUGUGAAAUCCCCGGGCUCAACCUGGGAACUGCAUUCGAAACUGGCAGGCUUGAGUCUUGUAGAGGGGGGUAGAAUUCCAGGUGUAGCGGUGAAAUGCGUAGAGAUCUGGAGGAAUACCGGUGGCGAAGGCGGCCCCCUGGACAAAGACUGACGCUCAGGUGCGAAAGCGUGGG
rnacentral:rRNA from 3 species